CUUUGACUAGGUGUGCUGAGACUACCACAGUAGGGGAGUGGACAUCAGGAAACAGGACCCGGCCGCGGCCACCUCACAGCCAGACCCUGAGCAGGAUGUUAGCCGCCGCCAGCCCCUGCUCGGCUCUCACAACUAAGUCACGAGGUUCUUCCACCUUCGCACAGGCCUAGGUGCCAGGGAGAUGGAGCAAGGAACAGACCCUGGGGUGGUUAGCCCAAGAGGACUUUGCAGGGAGGAUGGUGCAUCUUUCUUUCUGAAUGUCUUUUUGGUGCAAGGGUAAACAGCAUUCUUUCCAGAAUGGUCCAGGUUAAUCCUGCCAAGAAAUAGCAGCCCAGAUGGAGGGACCUCUCAGGGUUUCUCCAUUAUCUGAGGAUUGGCUCCCACAGGAGGAGUCAGUUAGAAAUAACGAUUCUUUCCUUGCUCCUACAGACUUGACAGACAUCGUGAGCUGCCUGCUGGAAGGAACCCCACGCAGCAGGCACUGCUUCCCGACGGGAUCUGAAGGACCCUGAGCAUCCUCUCUACCCAAAAGAGACGCUUUGCACCUGCUCCCACCUUGCAUCCUCUGUGCUUUUACUCUCUCAGCCUCUCAUUUAAAAGCAUCCCCAAAGGAAGAUGCCUUCAUACAAAGGUCUCAGGGAAAAGCAUCGACACGCCUAUUGGAGGGGCUCUUCAUGUCCAGGAUGGCAGCAGGACCCAACCGAAGAGCCCGGCCAGGCAUCAGGAGCACAGGUGCCUUCCACUAACUAGAGUGUGCUGCCUGCUCCACACAUAGACACAGGAAGAGGACCUGGUGGACAUUUCCUGAUUCUACUCAUACGACGUGGUUAGAGCAUCAGGAACCUGUUUCAUCCCCUUCCUCGCCUGCUUGGAGCAUCCAAGGGUACAGGAAUAGAGGACCAGAGGCCAUGCCAUCACUCAAAUCCAAGGAACAGUGUGAGCAGCCCAGGCGGGGAGCAGCCCCCCAAGGUGAUGUGGAGAAGCGUGUCAUGUUAUUCAUCAUCCAAAUCUUUCAUCCAGGAGAAGAACAGAGAGGUUAGAGGUGUGUGUUUAGGUGGAUUACAUUUUUUCUACAGUGCGGAGAGGGACCCAGCGGCCUCAGCCCCCAGAUCAGCAUCCCAGAGGGAUUCUAUUUUCCAGGUAACUGCCAGAUCAAGGCCUGAGUCUUCGCCCAUGAGCACUCACUGUCCGCAUCUGCAUACUCUCUGCAACCCUUAUUCAUUUUUUACCUACUUUGAUUUUUAAAAUAAGUCUGUCACUCAAAGUCUUCUAAACUAAAAAAUUCCAAACGGAAACUAGACGUGCCCAGCCACCACGUUAAAGGCCUUCCAGCAGCAGAAGUGGGGAUGGUUUUCCGACGAAGCAGGCCAUGGUAAAGGGGGACUGAGAGUCUCACUGUGGGAAGUAGAAAAGUUCCUUUUAAAGUUUCCUUUCUUGUUAAAGAAUAAGUGUGCUAGUAACUUUGUGAAGCCCUGUCCUAUGCAGCUGUUAGACAUGCCAUGCUUACAGGCAUUUAUUACAUUCUGUGUCCUUGGACUUCAACCAAGGUAUCUGCUAGACGUGCUCACAGGCAUGUCCCAGCUCUCCACUGCUUUUACCUGUUUAGAAAAUUUUAAGUUAUUAGCGAAUCGGGUUUUAGAUUGUGAGGUUUGGCUCCAGCCAAUGGAGAUCAGACACAGCAGUAAUGACAACCCCGAAUGUGUAAGGGAUACAUUUGCGUAUUUUCCUUUGUUCACUGGGGGUACCCUUCCCACAGUCCAGGAAGUAAAAAUUACAUUGCUGAAAGAUGCUUGUUUCAGUGCUGAUUUUCCUUUGUGGCACCGGGCAUCUAUUUCCAACACUCACCAUCCCACGGCCCUAAUUUUGUGAAUUCUAUUUCCCCGUUUAACUGACCAGGAAACUAGUCAGAGAGAGUAAGAUGGCGAGACUGAGGUCACGUAAUAGGGUCCACAUCCAAGCCAUGAAGCAUCCGAGGGUACAGGAAUAGAGGACCCGAGGCCAUGAACCGAGCAGUCUGGCCCCAGAACCACAACCUGAGCCGCACCCACUACUGCUGCUCCAGCCCACCACUCCACUCGGUAAUAACU